rnacentral:rRNA from 1 species
GGCAGUAACGGCAUGCUACACAUGCAGUCGAACGGCAGCACAGCAGUAGCAAUACUGUGGGUGGCGAGUGGCGGACGGGUGAGUAAUGCAUCGGGACCUGCCCAGACGUGGGGGAUAACGUAGGGAAACUUACGCUAAUACCGCAUACGUCCUACGGGAGAAAGCGGGGGAUCGAAAGACCUCGCGCGGUUGGAUGGACCGAUGUUCGAUUAGCUAGUUGGUGAGGUAAUGGCUCACCAAGGCGACGAUCGAUAGCUGGUCUGAGAGGAUGAUCAGCCACACUGGGACUGAGACACGGCCCAGACUCCUACGGGAGGCAGCAGUGGGGAAUAUUGGACAAUGGGCGCAAGCCUGAUCCAGCAAUGCCGCGUGUGUGAAGAAGGCCUUCGGGUUGUAAAGCACUUUUAUCAGGAGCGAAAUACCACGGGUUAAUACCCUAUGGGGCUGACGGUACCUGAGGAAUAAGCACCGGCUAACUUCGUGCCAGCAGCCGCGGUAAUACGAAGGGUGCAAGCGUUAAUCGGAAUUACUGGGCGUAAAGCGUGCGUAGGCGGUUUGUUAAGUCUGUUGUGAAAUCCCCGGGCUCAACCUGGGAAUGGCAAUGGAUACUGGCAAGCUAGAGUGUGAUAGAGGAUGGUGGAAUUCCCGGUGUAGCGGUGAAAUGCGUAGAGAUCGGGAGGAACAUCAGUGGCGAAGGCGGCCAUCUGGAUCAACACUGACGCUGAGGCACGAAAGCGUGGGGAGCAACAGUAAA